rnacentral:rRNA from 1 species
CAGCAGCCGCGGGAAUACGAAGGGUGCAAGCGUUAAUCGGAAUUACUGGGCGUAAAGCGUGCGUAGGCGGUGAGUUAAGUCUGCUGUGAAAUCCCCGGGCUCAACCUGGGAAUGGCAGUGGAUACUGGCUCGCUAGAGUGUGUCAGAGGAUGGUGGAAUUCCGCGUGUAGCAGUGAAAUGCGUAGAUAUGCGGAGGAACACCGAUGGCGAAGGCAGCCCCCUGGGCCAACACUGACGCUCAUGCGCGAAAGCGUGGGGAGCAAGCAGGAUUAGAUACCCCCGUAGUCCCUGUCUCUUAUAC